AGUUUUUCGGCAUGGUGGUGGCCCUUCUCGGGGUGGCGUCGCAAGUCCGGGGUCACGGCUAUAUGAUGGAACCCAUCGCACGAACCUCGAUCCAACUAAGGCCCGAGUUUGGGACUGAAAUGCCCUACUGGUGGGACAACCAGGGGGUGUGGUGCGGCAAUGUGAACCAGGACAUGCAGGUUUCCACUUGGGGAGGUGUGGGGAUGUUCUCGGAGAAACGACGGCUAACCAGGGUGGGAUUUAUGAUAAGGGAGUUAUUGUCGCCAACUAUUCGUCAGGCUCGAUAAUUGAAGUCACGACGCACUUCGGGGCUCCUCAUUUUGGCUCAUUUGAGAUCGAAAUUUGCCCUUACGAGCAAGAAACGGACAUCUGCUUUUACAAAAUUCCAAUUGUGGGAGGAACCGAAACUGUCCGGAUUGAUAACAGGAUUUGUGUCCCGCAUGACCAGGGUGGAACUGAGGUUACGGCCCAGGUCCAACUCCCAGCUGGGGUGACCUGUCGCAGGUGCACGCUCCGGUGGACGUACCGAACUUCGUAUCCCGGACCCGCGGACUGGGACAAUUGUUUGAAUCGGGAUCCCGUCCAAGUAUUCAGAAACUGUGCUGAUAUCGCUAUUUACUGAGAAACUUCUAAAAUGGAUGCAAUAAUAUAAUUACG